rnacentral:rRNA from 1 species
GAUGAACGCUGGCGGCGUGCCUAAUACAUGCCAGUCGAGCGAACGGACGAGAAGCUUGCUUCUCUGAUGUUAGCGGCGGACGGGUGAGUAACACGUGGAUAACCUACCUAUAAGACUGGGAUAACUUCGGGAAACCGGAGCUAAUACCGGAUAAUAUUUUGAACCGCAUGGUUCAAAAGUGAAAGACGGUCUUGCUGUCACUUAUAGAUGGAUCCGCGCUGCAUUAGCUAGUUGGUAAGGUAACGGCUUACCAAGGCAACGAUGCAUAGCCGACCUGAGAGGGGGAUAGGCCACACUGGAACUGAGACACGGUCCAGACUCCUACGGGAGGCAGCAGUAGGGAAUCUUCCGCAAUGGGCGAAAGCCUGACGGAGCAACGCCGCGUGAGUGAUGAAGGUCUUCGGAUCGUAAAACUCUGUUAUUAGGGAAGAACAUAUGUGUAAGUAACUGUGCACAUCUUGACGGUACCUAAUCAGAAAGCCACGGCUAACUACGUG